UACGUAGGAGGCGAGCGGUGUCCGGAUUUAUUGGGCGUAAAGAGCGCGUAGGUGGCUUGGCAAGUUGGGUGUGAAAUCCUCUGGCUUAACUGGGGGGUGUCAUCCGAUACUGCCAGGCUUGAGGUCGGUAGAGGAAGGUAGAAUUCCCGGUGUAGUGGUGAAAUGCGUAGAUAUCGGGAGGAAUACCAGUGGCGAAGGCGGCCUUCUGGGCCGAUCCUGACGCUGAGGCGCGAAAGCGUGGGGAGCGAACCGG
rnacentral:rRNA from 1 species